AAGGGACCUAGCGUAGUUCGGAAUUACUGGGCUUAAAGAGUUCGUAGGUGGUUGAAAAAGUUGGUGGUGAAAUCCCAGAGCUUAACUCUGGAACUGCCAUCAAAACUUUUCAGCUAGAGUAUGAUAGAGGAAAGCAGAAUUUCUAGUGUAGAGGUGAAAUUCGUAGAUAUUAGAAAGAAUACCAAUUGCGAAGGCAGCUUUCUGGAUCAUUACUGACACUGAGGAACGAAAGCAUGGGUAGCGAAGAGGAUUAGAUACCCUCGUAGUCCAUGCCGUAAACGAUGUGUGUUAGACGUUGGAAAUUUAUUUUCAGUGUCGCAGGGAAACCGAUAAACACACCGCCUGGGGAGUACGACCGCAAGGUUAAAACUCAAAUGAAUUGACGGGGACCCGCACAAGUAGUGGAGCAUGUGGUUUAAUUCGAAGAUACGCGCAGAACCUUACCAACACUUGACAUGUUCGUCGCGACUCUAAGAGAUUAGAGUUUUCGGUUCGGCCGGACGAAACACAGGUGCUGCAUGGCUGUCGUCAGCUCGUGUCGUGAGAUGUUGGGUUAAGUCCCGCAACGAGCGCAACCCUCACUUUUAGUUGCCAUCAUUAAGUUGGGCACUCUGAAAGAACUGCCAGUGAUAAGCUGGAGGAAGGUGGGGAUGACGUCAAGUCCUCAUGGCCCUUACGUGUUGGGCUACACACGUGCUACAAUGGCAUCUACAACAGGAAGCAAAACGGCAACGUUAAGCAAAUCCCGAAAAGAUGCCUCAGUUCGGAUUGCACUCUGCAACUCGAGUGCAUGAAGCUGGAAUUACUAGUAAUCGUGGAUCAGCGUGCCACGGUGAAUGCGUUCCCGGGUCUUGUACACACCGCCCGUCACACCAUGGGAGUUGGUUCUACCUUAAGGCAAGGUUUUAAACCCUUGACCACGGUAUAGUCAGCGACUGGGGUGAAGUCGUAACAAGGUAGCCGUAGGGGAACCUGCGGCUGGAUUACCUCCUUUCUAAGGAUGAGUGAAAGUAAAAUUUCACUCUAAAUAAUAUACAUCGGUAAUGUUGACCGUCCUCAUUUCUCUUCUUAAAGUAAUGUUUCCUUCUUGUAGGGCCGGUAGCUCAGUUGGUUAGAGCACACCCUUGAUAAGGGUGGGGUCGAAAGUUCGAGUCUUUCUCGGCCCACCAAAAACCUAAAUGGGGGAUUAGCUCAUCUGGGAGAGCGCCUGAUUUGCAUUCAGGAGGUAGCAGGUUCGAUCCCUGUAUCCUCCACCAGGAAACAUUUAGUUAUUAAAACUGUAAAUAAAAAUAAUUUAUAUCAAUAUCUAUAUCCGAACAUUAAAAGUUAUUAUUUAAUGUUCAAAAUAAAAAUUUGAUCACAACAUAGAUAAAUUUUCUGUUAAAAGAAUUUUUUUCUGUGCAUAAAUCAAGCGUUUAAGGGCGUGUAUUGGAUGCCUUGGCACUGAAAGCCGAUGAAGGACGUGAUAUACUGCGAUAAGUUUCGGGGAGCUGUAUGUAAGCUUUGAUCCGAAAAUUU
rnacentral:sRNA from 1 species